AACGCACCUUGCGCCCUUUGGCUAUUCCGAAGGGCAUGCCUGUUUGAGUAUCAUGAACACCUCAACUCUCAUGGCUUGCCAUGAUGAGCUUGGACUAUGGGGGUCUUGUUGGCCUGAGGUCAGCUCCUCUCAAAUGAAUCAGCUUGCCAGUGUUUGGUGGCGUCGCAGGUGUGAUAACUAUCUACGCUUGUGGCUUUCCACCGGGUAACCUUCCGCAACGGAGGUUUGCUGGGGCUCAUAAACUUGUCUCUCCUCAGCGGAGGACAGCUCUUUGAACGUUUGAUCUCAAAUCAGGUAGGACUACCCGCUGAACUUAA
rnacentral:misc_RNA from 1 species